AUGAACGCUGGCGGCGUGCCUAAUACCUGCAAGUCGAGCGAACGGACGAGAAGCUUGCUUCUCUGAUGUUAGCGGCGGACGGGUGAGUAACACGUGGAUAACCUACCUAUAAGACUGGGAUAACUUCGGGAAACCGGAGCUAAUACCGGAUAAUAUUUUGAACCGCAUGGUUCUAAAGUGAAAGACGGUCUUGCUGUCACUUAUAGAUGGAUCCGCGCUGCAUUAGCUAGUUGGUAAGGUAACGGCUUACCAAGGCAACGAUGCAUAGCCGACCUGAGAGGGUGAUCGGCCACACUGGAACUGGGACACGGUCCAGACUCCUACGGGAGGCAGCAGUAGGGAAUCUUCCGCAAUGGGCGAAAGCCUGACGGAGCACCGCCGCGUGAGUGAUGAAGGUCUUCGGAUCGUAAAACUCUGUUAUUAGGGAAGAACAUAUGUGUAAGUAACUGUGCACAUCUUGACGGUACCUAAUCAGAAAGCCACGGCUAACUACGUG
rnacentral:rRNA from 1 species